AUGAUGGCUAUUUUUAUUAUCAAGAUUCCCAUUAUGAACAGGGGCUCUAGUCGGGACAGUUGUCAUCAUCCAGACUUAUGUCUGGGAUUUCUUCAGUAGGCUGAGAUUCUCCUGCUAAACAUGAGAAGCGAUUAUCAUCAUCUUGACUCUUGGACUCAAUAGACAGUUGUUCGAAUGGACUUGGUAGCUGUCUUUGCUGUCUUUUUUCAAUCUGAAUUCUAUAAUAUUCAGUUUUACUGGUGAUCAUUUUUAUUGUAUCUUGGCCCUCCAAUUCUUUUGUAGAGUUAUUAACUCUUGUCAUUUUAGACCAGAACUUUGUAUAAGAAGUUCUUUUGAGACAAGGAAAAUUGUCUCUCAGGGUAUAACCUAUUGUAGGCUUCCAUCUCCAUAUCCAAGGAAUAGAAAAUUCU
rnacentral:lncRNA from 1 species